CGGAGGAUCCAAGCGUUAUCCGGAAUCAUUGGGUUUAAAGGGUCCGUAGGCGGUUUAAUAAGUCAGUGGUGAAAGCCCAUCGCUCAACGGUGGAACGGCCAUUGAUACUGUUAAACUUGAAUUAUUAGGAAGUAACUAGAAUAUGUAGUGUAGCGGUGAAAUGCUUAGAGAUUACAUGGAAUACCAAUUGCGAAGGCAGGUUACUACUAAUUGAUUGACGCUGAUGGACGAAAGCGUGGGUAGCGAACAGGAUUAGAUACCCUGGUAGUCCACGCCGUAAACGAUGGAUACUAGCUGUUGGAAGCAAUUUCAGUGGCUAAGCGAAAGUGAUAAGUAUCCCACCUGGGGAGUACGUUCGCAGGAAUG
rnacentral:rRNA from 1 species